UGGUCAAUAGCCUAACGGCUGAACCAGCAACUUGGAGGAAUGUAUAGCAACUGCUAGUUGCACUAAAAGUUUUAGUGUAAAAUCAACUUUGUUGAAUAAAAUUCUGGAUAGAAUUUUGAUAAUGACAUUAUCUGUCCAUAAGUCUUGACCAAAUUACGUGCCAGCAGUCGCGGUAAUACGUAGAAGACAAGUGUUAUUCAUCUUUAAUAGGUUUAAAGGGUACUUAGGCGGUAAAUCAAGCCUUAAAAAGGGACUAAUUUGCUAGAGUUUUAUGUGAAAAAGUAUUAAAGUACUGCUGGUGUAGAGAUGAAAUUCUGUCAUACCUUGAAUGGCACAGGUUAAGGCGAAAGCAUCUUUUUAUGUAAAAACUGACGUUGAAGGACGAAGGCUUUGUGUCUCGAACAGGAUUAGAUACCCUAGUAGUCUAAGCAGACAAUGAUGAAUGUCAUAGAUUAGAUGUAAUUUGAUCUAUAAAUGAAAGUGUAAGCAUUCCACCUCAAGAGUAAUUUGGCAACAUUGGAACUGAAAUCAUUAGACCGUUUCUGAAACCAGUAGUGAAGUAUGUUGUUUAAUUUGAUAAUCCGCAAAAAACCUUACCACUUUAAUAUGAAUAGAUAUAUUUUAUCAUACAAGCGUUGCACGGCUGUCUUCAGUUAAUGUCGUGAGACUUUGGUUAGUUCCAUAAAAUUAACGUAAACCCUUACUUUAUUUACUAAUAAAGUAGUUCACCGCUAUAUUGGAUGUGAUAACUGGGAUCAAGACAAGUCAUCAUGACCUAAAUAUUGUGGGCUAUAGACUUGCCACAUAUGCCUUACAAAGAGAUGCUAAAUUGUG
rnacentral:rRNA from 1 species